rnacentral:rRNA from 1 species
GACGAACGCUGGCGGCGUGCCUAAUACAUGCAAGUAGAACGCUGAAGGAGGAGCUUGCUCUUCUGGAAGAGUUGCGAACGGGUGAGUAACGCGUAGGUAACCUGCCUGGUAGCGGGGUAUAACUAUUGGAAACGAUAGCUAAUACCGCAUAAGAUUGAAUAUCGCAUGAUAAUUGAUUAAAAGAUGCAAAUGCAUCACUACCAGAUGGACCUGCGUUGUAUUAGCUAGUAGGUGAGGUAACGGCUCACCUAGGCGACGAUACAUAGCCGACCUGAGAGGGUGAUCGGCCACACUGGGACUGAGACACGGCCCAGACUCCUACGGGAGGCAGCAGUAGGGAAUCUUCGGCAAUGGGGGCAACCCUGACCGAGCAACGCCGCGUGAGUGAAGAAGGUUUUCGGAUCGUAAAGCUCUGUUGUAAGAGAAGAACGAGUGUGAGAGUGGAAAGUUCACACUGUGACGGUAUCUUACCAGAAAGG